UUAGCGGCCGCGAAUUCGGCCCCUUGGUUCCAGACUUUGAUUCUGGCUCAAGGACGAACGCUGGCGGCGUGCUUAACACAUGCAAGUCGAACGAGAAGAGAUGAGAAGCUUGCUUUUUAUUGAUUCGAGUGGCAAACGGGUGAGUAACGCGUAAGCAACCUGCCCCUCUAGAUGGGGACAACAGCUGGAAACGGCUGCUAAUACCGAAUACGUUUUUUCUGUCGCAUGGCAGAGGGAAGAAAGGGAGGCUCUUCGGAGCUUUCGCUGGAGGAGGGGCUUGCGUCUGAUUAGCUAGUUGGAGGGGUAACGGCCCACCAAGGCGACGAUCAGUAGCCGGUCUGAGAGGAUGAACGGCCACAUUGGGACUGAGACACGGCCCAGACUCCUACGGGAGGCAGCAGUGGGGAAUCUUCCGCAAUGGACGAAAGUCUGACGGAGCAACGCCGCGUGAACGAUGACGGCCUUCGGGUUGUAAAGUUCUGUUAUACGGGACGAAUGGUACGACGGCCAAUACCCGUCGUAAGUGACGGUACCGUAAGAGAAAGCCACGGCUAACUACGUGCCAGCAGCCGCGGUAAUACGUAGGUGGCAAGCGUUGUCCGGAAUUAUUGGGCGUAAAGGGCGCGCAGGCGGCGUCGUAAGUCGGUCUUAAAAGUGCGGGGCUUAACCCCGUGAGGGGACCGAAACUGCGAUGCUAGAGUAUCGGAGAGGAAAGCGGAAUUCCUAGUGUAGCGGUGAAAUGCGUAGAUAUUAGGAGGAACACCAGUGGCGAAAGCGGCUUUCUGGACGACAACUGACGCUGAGGCGCGAAAGCCAGGGGAGCAAACGGGAUUAGAUACCCCGGUAGCCCUGGCCGUAAACGAUGGAUACUAGGUGUAGGAGGUAUCGACCCCUUCUGU
rnacentral:rRNA from 1 species